UGAGGGAAACGUUACAUGCUGCUAAAUAAGACUUGAUUGACCGAGCAUAUGCAGAUCUUUUAAUCGGACCACUGCAACAACAGAUCUACAUGAAAGUUUCAUAUUACAGCAUUCACAGUGGGAGCAGGCCAUGCAGAGUCUCUUCUCGUUCACCAAAAAGGAGCAACAGCGUUGCACAUUCAUGUGGACAGAUAUUGCUGACAGGCCUCUUUAAAUGCUUCCCCUUUGCCUUUUAUUCACUAUGUGCUAAAUGCAUUGAGCUGUGUAAGAAUACACAUCAACACCCAAAGUAUGUGCAUGGGUGUCUUCUCAGUCUCUCUUACUCCAUCGUUUUCACCCUUUCCCUCACUCAUUAAUUUAUUACUAUUUUCUGUGGUGUACUUUAUGAUUUGUGGAAUCUCCCCCAUGAAACUGAGCAAGUUCCCACCAAUAAAAAGACAACACCCAAUGCAUGCAUGCUUUUCUGUUUGUAAAAAGCCACAUAAUGCAGGCCUUGUUCGGCACUGGGGUUGUGGUAUGUAGUCCAAUAUAGAGAAAGCAUGCAGGGUGAUGAUGGGGUCAGAUCUGGCCAGGAAGUUGGAGAUCACAGGGGGUCACUUGCUUUUGGCAUGUAUUAUACACUAACCCCUGCAGACUUCCACCUCCUUUUCAACCCCACUCCAGCACCAUCUGUUUUAUUUCCCAUAGGGUGUGAAUGCAGUUCUUUUUGAAAAGCAUGCAUACAUUGCCUCAAACAUGAUUAAACAUUCUUCUCAACAGAUUUGAGACU